AACGCACAUUGCGCCCGCUGGUAUUCCAGCGGGCAUGCCUGUUCGAGCGUCAUUUCAACCCUCAAGCCCAGCUUGGUGUUGGGGCACUGCCGGCAGAGAGCGCGGGGUUCUCCCCCGCGCUCUUGGGCAGGCCCUGAAAUGGAGUUGGCGAGCCCGCCCAGGACUCCGAGCGCAGUAGUCUUUACCACCUCGCUCAGGACGGACUGGCGGUUGCCCUGCCGUUAAACCCCCAAAAUCUUUUUUUACCAAAGGUUGACCUCGGAUCAGGUAGGAAUACCCGCUGAACUUAA
rnacentral:misc_RNA from 1 species